rnacentral:misc_RNA from 1 species
UUGCAUUCAUGUAUUAGGUGUGUCACUUCUUUGUUCCACCCUGUAUAAAAAGGCCACAUCUCUCUCUGCUUCUGAAGCAAAGCGUGCAAAAGCUCUACUCAUUUAGACAUAAACGGGGAGGGAAAAAGGUUAUAAAACUCUGCUACAUGGAAGUUCCUUACAGGAGAACUAGAGAUGGCGUUUCAGAGAUUUUCAGGAGAGAACUGGGAUUGUCUCAUUCUCAUUCCUUCACUCGCCGAUUCUCUGCUUCUGAGGUAGUUGUGAAGCAAAUCGAUCUUUAUGGGGAGCUAAUUGGUCAUGAGGGAAGUGUAAAUGCAGUGGAAUUCAACUCUACUGGCGAUCUUCUUGUGUCAGGUUCCGAUGACACAGACGUUAUAUUUUGGGAUUGGGCAACUAAAAGCAGAAAGUUUUCAUUUUUUUCAGGCCACUCUGGCGAGAUAUUUCAGACCCGAAUCAUGCCAUUCACCGACGAUCGGAGAAUAGUUACUUCUUCAGCUGAUGGGCAGGUUAGGCUUGUGCAGGUAUUGGAUAAUGGCCAAGUUGAUACAGCAAGGUUGGGGAAGCACCAAGGGCCUGUACACAGCCUUGCUGUGGAUCCAGGAAGUCCCCAUAUUAUUUAUAGCUGCGGUGAUGAUGGUUUCGUGCAACAUGUUGGUUAUCUUUAUGAUAUGGUGCUCCUUGGAAGUUCUUUCUUUUAUUUGCUGUAGUCUGGCAGUUGAUUUUGCCUUGUAUUUUUUCAGUUUGAUGUGCGCAGUUGGUAUGCUACAAAGCUUUUCUGUUGCUCCUCGCUCACAGAAAAUAGCAAGCGGCCUCCUAAUAGUAUAAAAUUGAAUGCCAUUGUAAUUAACCCGAGAAAUCCAAAUUACUUUGCUGUUGGAGGUUCUGAUGUAUUUGCACGUGUCUAUGACAUAAGAAAAUGCAGAUCGGAUGCACCUGUGAACACAUUCUGUCCCCGUCACCUGAUAAAGUCUAAAAAUGUGGAAAUCACGGGAUUGGCUUACUCUAACACUAGUGAAUUGCUUGUCUCUUACAGUGAUGAACUUAUUUAUUUGUUUCAGAAGAACAUGGGAAUGGAACCUUACCCAUUCUCCUUAAGCCCUCAAGAUUUGCAGAAACUUGAGGAGCCUCAAGUUUACUUAGGUCAUAGAAAUGCAAUUAAAGGGAAAGGAGUGAGUUUCUUUGGCCCUAAUGAUGAAUAUGUAUUGAGUGGGUCUGAUUGUGGCAAUAUAUUCAUUUGGAAGAAGAGAGGUGGCAAGCUUCUGCGAUUAAUGUUUGGUGACCGACAAUUUGUAUGUCAGCUUGAGCCCCAUCCACAUAUGCCUAUUUUUGCUACUGGUGGAAUCGAAAAGAGUGUGAAGCUUUGGGUUCCCAUGGCAAGUGAAGCUCCUCCACUUCCUGACAAUGUAGAAAAGAUUAUGGAGUCAAAUAGGCAGGGCAGAGAGGAACAUUCAGACGUAGCUCUUACCCCAGAAGUCAUCAUGCUUUUUCUCCUGCAAAAACGGCAAACAUUGGCAUAUAGAGAUAGAUACACUGUUGAGAGUGACGAAGAUGAAGGGGAAGCAUAAGUUCUAGGAUUUUCAGAUGCUGAUGCCUCUUCUGAAGGCAAUAUUAACACCUAACAUUCUUGUGAAAUUUUACAAUUCUACUUGCAAUAUGUGAAAAUUUGUAACCACCUUCCACUUCCAACUGAGGAGACA